rnacentral:lncRNA from 1 species
ACCGACUCUUGAACACUGGAAAUUGAAGGUACACACUCAUACACCACUGUUAAGGACCCUAGUCCCAUGAACACUGGAAUAUGGAUCAUGAAGAACUUGCUGUUGCUGCCUGUGACAAAAGAUGAGAACCUGAUGAUCAACUUCCACCAUUCAUUUCGCUCGUCUCUCACAUGUUGUUUCAGCAGAACAUAAGGAUACUGAACUAACAGGUAACCACUCUGUUAUAUAUGUCUCUGUUAUUAUGUGUCAUGGCUAUGGCAAUGCCACUCUGGUACAUUACAGAGAUCAAGGUUUGAAAACAUGGGGGAAUAUGUUUCUAUGAUGUGUUCUGGGGGGGUUAAACUAUUCAGGACCCAAACUGGUCAGUUAAAUAGAAACAUGGAAAGAUUCAGGAGGUUUAAUAGUAACCCCCAAAAGUUGUAGUAAAAGGAAAAUUGCAAUUCUGAGAUCAAAGGAAAAGGACUGAGCGUGGUUUGGCUUUUGGUGAACUACCACAGGGAAAAGAUCUUCCUUAUGGCAGUCUGAUAGCAGGUUAGUUUAAUUCUGUUACUGAGAUAUGACUGGCAGAGUUUAUAUGUUGCCUUAAUUGAAACAUUACACAUUUAGAAAUUUGAGUAGCAAGGUGAUGGUGUUUGCAAUUGAAAACAUCUCUGUAUUUUUGUAGGGUUAAACUUUCUUUUAUAUGCAAAUCGGGCAUAUAUAGUUAAUUUGGUAUUUCCAGAUCAUGGUUAUUGCCCCAGAAAAGCUUUUCACUGAACAUCUCUGCCCAUUAAAGCUAUUAGGGAAGUAAAUAUUCAAACCUAGGCUUCCAUGACUGGAAGCUUGGAUUA